GACGAACGCUGGCGGCGUGCUUAACACAUGCAAGUCGAACGAUGAACCCGGAGCUUGCUCCGGUGGAUUAGUGGCGAACGGGUGAGUAACACGUGAGUAACCUGCCCUUGACUCUGGGAUAACUGCGGGAAACUGUAGCUAAUACCGGCUAAGACCUUCGCCAGCAGCGUCAGGGGGUGGAAAGAAUUUCGGGCAAGGAUGGACUCGCGGCCUAUCAGCUAGUUGGUUAGGUAACGUCUCACCAAGGCGACGACGGGUAGCCGGCCUGGGAGGGUGACCGGCCACACUGGGACUGAGACACGGCCCAUACUCCUACGGGAGGCAGCAGUGGGGAAUAUUGGACAAUGGGCGCAAGCCUGAUGCAGCAACGCCGCGUGAGGGAUGCCGGCCUUCGGGUUGUAAACCUCUUUUAGUAGGGAAGAAGCGAAAGUGACGGUACCUGCAGAAAAAGCACCGGCUAACUACGUGCCAGCCGCCGCAGUAA
rnacentral:rRNA from 1 species